CCUACGGGGUGCAGCAGUGGGGAAUAUUGCACAAUGGGGGAAACCCUGAUGCAGCGACGCCGCGUGAGUGAAGAAGUAUUUCGGUAUGUAAAGCUCUAUCAGCAGGGAAGAAAAUGACGGUACCUGACUAAGAAGCCCCGGCUAACUACGUGCCAGCAGCCGCGGUAAUACGUAGGGGGCAAGCGUUAUCCGGAUUUACUGGGUGUAAAGGGAGCGUAGACGGCCAGACAAGUCAGAAGUGAAAGCCCAGGGCGCAACCCUGGGACUGCUUUUGAAACUGCCGGGCUUGAGUGCAGGAGAGGUAAGCGGAAUGCCUAGUGUAGCGGUGAAAUGCGUAGAUAUUAGGAGGAACACCAGUGGCGAAGGCGGCUUACUGGACUGUAACUGACGUUGAGGCUCGAAAGCGUGGGGAGCAAACAGGAUUAGAUACCCUAGUAGUC
rnacentral:rRNA from 1 species